UCGAGCGAACGGACGAGAAGCUUGCUUCUCUGAUGUUAGCGGCGGACGGGUGAGUAACACGUGGAUAACCUACCUAUAAGACUGGGAUAACUUCGGGAAACCGGAGCUAAUACCGGAUAAUAUUUUGAACCGCAUGGUUCAAAAGUGAAAGACGGUCUUGCUGUCACUUAUAGAUGGAUCCGCGCUGCAUUAGCUAGUUGGUAAGGUAACGGCUUACCAAGGCAACGAUGCAUAGCCGACCUGAGAGGGUGAUCGGCCACACUGGAACUGAGACACGGUCCAGACUCCUACGGGAGGCAGCAGUAGGGAAUCUUCCGCAAUGGGCGAAAGCCUGACGGAGCAACGCCGCGUGAGUGAUGAAGGUCUUCGGAUCGUAAAACUCUGUUAUUAGGGAAGAACAUAUGUGUAAGUAACUGUGCACAUCUUGACGGUACCUAAUCAGAAAGCCACGGCUAACUACGUGCCAGCAGCCGCGGUAAUACGUAGGUGGCAAGCGUUAUCCGGAAUUAUUGGGCGUAAAGCGCGCGUAGGCGGUUUUUUAAGUCUGAUGUGAAAGCCCACGGCUCAACCGUGGAGGGUCAUUGGAAACUGGAAAACUUGAGUGCAGAAGAGGAAAGUGGAAUUCCAUGUGUAGCGGUGAAAUGCGCAGAGAUAUGGAGGAACACCAGUGGCGAAGGCGACUUUCUGGUCUGUAA
rnacentral:rRNA from 1 species